CACCCCCUGCAUGUUAAGUCCAUGAGACCAUAGGGUGUCCCAUUGGUCAUUUUAGCUCUCAGAAGGGUGCUCGCGAGUGUCCCCUUUUCUACUGUCCGCACUUCUACCCAGCCCGCACUGAGGCGAGCUCCGCAACAGACUUCUACCCAUCAGUCAAAGUGGCAUUACGUCACGAAGAAUGACCUUCACACUGCAUUCGUCACUUUUGGAUCAAGUUACAUUCAGAUGAUCUCUCUUCCCAAAUUACAAACCAUACCUGCAGUAAAGCAAGGAAAGCAAUAAUUUUACUUUUAAGCAACGCCAGGAGAGAAAGUGUGUCUUGACCAACGAAAUAGAGCAUGGCACCCCCUGCAGCUCACUGCAUCGCUCAGUGUCAUGAGACCAUCACUUUUGAGUCAAGUCACAAACUGAUAAUCUCUCCUUGAAUAAUAUAAAAUGUUCAUUCACGUGGAAAAGAAAUGUUGUUUAUUUCCAUUGAAUAAAUUAUGA